UACGGAGGAUGCGAGCGUUAUCCGGAUUUAUUGGGUUUAAAGGGUGCGCAGGCGGAAGAUCAAGUCAGCGGUAAAAUUGAGAGGCUCAACCUCUUCGAGCCGUUGAAACUGGUUUUCUUGAGAUGUCGAGAGGUAUGCGGAAUGCGCAGUGUAGCGGUGAAAUGCUUAGAUAUUGCGCAGAACUCCGAUUGCGAAGGCAGCAUACCGGCGGCGAUCUGACGCUGAGGCACGAAAGCGUGGGUAUCGAACAGG
rnacentral:rRNA from 1 species